rnacentral:tRNA from 2 species
AUUUGAGUAGCUUAAAAUAAAAGCUUAAUAUUGAAGAUAUUAGGAUGGAAUUUUCCCUUGAAUA